rnacentral:rRNA from 1 species
UACGUAGGCAGCGAGCGUUGUUCGGAGUUACUGGGCGUAAAGAGUGCGUAGGCGGUUUUCUAAGUUUGGUGUGAAAUCUCCCGGCUUAACUGGGAGGGUGCGCCGAAGACUGGAAGGCUUGAGUAUGGGAGAGGUAAGCGGAAUUCCUGGUGUAGCGGUGAAAUGCGUAGAUAUCAGGAGGAACACCGAUGGCGAAGGCAGGUCUCUGGGCCACUACUGACGCUGAGAAGCGAAAGCAUGGGGAGCGAACAGG